rnacentral:rRNA from 1 species
UACAGAGGGGGCAAGCGUUGUUCGGAAUUACUGGGCGUAAAGGGCGCGUAGGCGGCCCUCUAAGUCAGACGUGAAAUCCCUCGGCUCAACCGGGGAACUGCGUCUGAGACUGGAAGGCUUGAAUUCGGGAGAGGGAUGUGGAAUUCCAGGUGUAGCGGUGAAAUGCGUAGAUAUCUGGAGGAACACCGGUGGCGAAGGCGGCAUCCUGGACCGAGAUUGACGCUGAGGCGCGAAAGCUAGGGGAGCAAACGGG